GAUGAGCGCUCGCUACAGGCUUAACACAUGCAAGUCGAGGGGAAACGACAUCGAAAGCUUGCUUUUGAUGGGCGUCGACCGGCGCACGGGUGAGUAACGCGUAUCCAACCUGCCCACCACUUGGGGAUAACCUUGCGAAAGUAAGACUAAUACCCAAUGAUAUCCCACGAAGACAUCUGAAUGGGAUUAAAGAUUUAUCGGUGAUGGAUGGGGAUGCGUCUGAUUAGCUUGUUGGCGGGGUAACGGCCCACCAAGGCAACGAUCAGUAGGGGUUCUGAGAGGAAGGUCCCCCACAUUGGAACUGAGACACGGUCCAAACUCCUACGGGAGGCAGCAGUGAGGAAGAUUGGUCAAUGGGCGAGAGCCUGAACCAGCCAAGUAGCGUGCAGGAAGACGGCCCUAUGGGUUGUAAACUGCUUUUAUAAGGGAAUAAAGUGGGUCACGUGUGACUUUUUGCAUGUACCUGAUGAAUAAGGACCGGCUAAUUCCGUG
rnacentral:rRNA from 1 species